rfam:Felis catus isolate Cinnamon breed Abyssinian chromosome D3, whole genome shotgun sequence.
ACCUGGGUGGCUCAGUUGGUUAAGCGUCCGACUUCGGCUCGGGUCAUGAUUUCGUGGUUCGUGGGUUCGAGCCCCGCAUCGGGCU